rnacentral:rRNA from 1 species
ACAAGCAGCGGAGCGUGUGGUUUAAUUCGAUGUUACACGAAGAACCUUACCAGGGUUUGACAUGCAAGUGGUAGGAAACUGAAAAGGGACCGACCCUUCGGGGAGCUUGCACAGGUGCUGCAUGGCUGUCGUCAGCUCGUGUCGUGAGAUGUUCGGUUAAGUCCGCUAACGAGCGCAACCCUCACUGUGUGUUAUAUGUGUCACACGGGACUGCCGGUUUUAAGCCGGAGGAAGGUGGGAUGACGUCAAGUCAGCAUGGCCUUUAUAUCCUGGGCUACACACACGCUACAAUGGUCGGUACAAUAGGUUGCCAAGCCGCGAGGCGGAGCCAAUCCAAAAAAGCCGGCCUCAGUUCAGAUUGUAGGCUGCAACUCGCCUGCAUGAAGAUGGAGUUGCUAGUAACCGCAGGUCAGCAAUACUGCGGUGAAUACGUUCCCGGGUCUU